GUUUUUCCCCACUGAGGAUGAUAUCAGCUGUGGGUUUUUUAAUAUGGCCUUUAUGACAUUGAGUGGUUGAAGAAAGUUGGACACGCAUCCUUCCUUGUCUCAUUUCCUGUCUCAGCUGUUGGAGAAGAGCUAGAGAAGAGCUUGAUGUACAGCAUAGAGGGGGAGUCUUCACUCUGCUCCUUCACUUCACUCUGUAAGCUGUAGCACAAAUUUUAGGAGAAAGGAAUGAAGACACCAGUCUGAGUUAAAAUUCUGCCACUAACUAAUCAUGCAUGUCAUCCUAGUGAGAUGAGGUUUCAUUUCUGUAACUAACCAAAUUUUUGGCCUAUUUUCGGCAGCCUUUUCUUUGAAAUACAUUUAAUGGAUGCCUAACUUUGUACUUUUUCUUAUCCAUUUAAAUAUUUAUGAAAUAAAUAUUUAUGAAAUAAAAAUAGCUAUGUGCUAGCAUUAUUGAGACGAUAUAAAAAUG
rnacentral:lncRNA from 1 species